rnacentral:rRNA from 1 species
GUUUCCUACGGGGGGCAGCAGUGAGGAAUAUUGGUCAAUGGGCGGAAGCCUGAACCAGCCAAGUCGCGUGAGGGAAUAAGGCCCUACGGGUCGUAAACCUCUUUUGCCGGGGAGCAAGGGCGGGGACGUGUCCCGGCCCGGAGAGUACCCGGAGAAAAAGCACCGGCUAACUCCGUGCCAGCAGCCGCGGUAAUACGGAGGGUGCGAGCGUUAAUCGGAAUUACUGGGCGUAAAGCGCUCGUAGGCGGUAUGUCAAGUAAGGGUGAAAUCCCCGCGCUCAACGUGGGAACUGCCUUUGAAACUGG